CUUGACAGUCCAAUCUGAAAUCCAUCAAAACAAACUUAAAUUUCAGAUUGGACCCUCUGAGCAAAACUUUAAAUCAAAUAAAUUCGAAGUUUUUUAGUGAAAAUAUCAUAAAAUAUGAUCACAAUGGAAACUCCUGCGUUGAGAAAAACAGAAGAAUGUAAUGCUCACAUCAGGGCCAUCGAUUCUAUGGCGUGGACUGUCCACUGUGCCUUCGCUAACCGGAUCCCGAUUCCUGGGAACUCCUAAAUAGCAACCGAUUGGCAUAUUGCGUUCCGCUAGCACAUUAAACCAUAUUAAAAAUGGUCUUAGAAACUCGACGAAGAGCGGAAAUCGCACCUGUCUUUGGAUCAUCUGUACAAGUUUUAUAAUAUCUGAACAACCCUCGAAUCGUUCCCCGAAUCAUUGCCAAUAUUGAGACAUCCUGGAACCUUCGGAAUCAUCUUUAUACUAAGACAACAUAUAGCGGCUUGGUUCCUCACAGCGUUUGCCGUUCUUCGAAAUGGGGAACUUGCAGGAAAGCCAACGGCGACACUCGUGUGAAAAAUCAAAUAUCCAGAUCCAGUAAGUUAACGUUAUUAUUUCGCGAAAGCGUAUCUCUAAAAGAGCAACUGACGACUGUAUUGCUGUCCAUGGAUGUGAAGCAAGACAUGUCCGGUGGACAUGUGGCUAAGAUUCAAAAAUAAAGUUAUUGCUACGAAAUAAA